GAUGAAGAACGUAGCGAAAUGCGAUAAGUAAUGUGAAUUGCAGAAUCCAGUGAAUCAUCGAAUCUUUGAACGCACAUUGCGCCCGCCAGCAUUCUGCCGGGCAUGCCUGUUCGAGCGUCAUUUCAACCAUCAAGCCCCAGCGCUUGUGUUGGGGGCCUGCGGCUGCCGCAGCCCCCUAAAAGCAGUGGCGGGCUCGCUAUCACACCGAGUGCAGUAGUUCAUCUUCUCUCCGGUCUUGUGAGGCGGGUUCCGGCCGUGAAACACCCCACUACAUUCAAGGUUGACCUCGGAUCAGGUAGGAAUACCCGCUGAACUUAAGCAUAUCAAUAAGCGGAGGA
rnacentral:misc_RNA from 1 species